UUCCUUAAAGAGGUGGGGUUUCAGGUGUCUCCGGAAGGUGGUGAUUGACUCCGCUGUCCUGGCGUCGUGAGGGAGUUUGUUCCACCAUUGGGGGGCCAGAGCAGCGAACAGUUUUGCCUGGGCUGAGCGGGAACUGUACUUCCUCAGUGGUAGGGAGGCGAGCAGGCCAGAGGUGGAUGAACGCAGUGCCCUUGUUUGGGUGUAGGGCCUGAUCAGAGCCUGGAGGUACUGAGGUGCUGUUCCCCUCACAGCUCCGUAGGCAAGCACCAUGGUCUUGUAGCAGAUGCGAGCUUCAACUGGAAGCCAGUGGAGAGAGCGGAGGAGCGGGGUGACGUGAGAGAACUUGGGAAGGUUGAACACCAGACGGGCUGCGGCGUUCUGGAUGAGUUGUAGGGGUUUAAUGGCACAGGCAGGGAGCCCAGCCAACAGCGAGUUGCAGUAAUCCAGACGGGAGAUGACAAGUGCCUGGAUUAGGACCUGCGCCGCUUCCUGUGUGAGGCAGGGUCGUACUCUGCGGAUGUUGUAGAGCAGUGGUCACCAAACUACGGCCCGCGGGCCGGAUACGGCCCGUCAGCACAUUUGGCCCGGCCCUCUGAACAAUACCAGAGACGCUAUCAAAUUUUUUUCCUAUUUGGCCUCCAGAAAAAAAAUCCUAGGCCCGGCCCUGUCAAAGAGAGAACGGAAUAAUGGCGAAAAGGUUAGGUAAGAGAAAAAUUGAUUCAGAAUGCAGGGUAUUUAACCUGCAGUGGACAAACGAUUAUUUUUUUGUUCAAUGCAAAGAAAAGGCUGUUUAUAAUAUAUGCCAUUUAGCUGACGCUUUUAUCCAAAGCGACUUACAGUCAUGUGUGCAUACAUUCUACGUAUGGGUGGUCCCGGGAAUCGAACCCACUACCCUGGCGUUACAAGCGCCAUGCUCUACCAACUGAGCCACAGAAGGACCACAUUAUCUCAUCUGUCAAGAGACGGUGGCGGUAUUCAAAGAAUACAAUCUUCGCCGACACUAUGAAUCCCUUGUAACUUGCAGCUACAAGGCGAGGGGAAACUCAUUUGCGACAUGUAUUCACACAUAAAAGCAUUUGAGGUGAAAUUAGCGCUGCUUUUGGAACAAGUGAAAAAGCGCAACUUCGUCCAUCUUCCUGCUACCCAAAACCUGUCGACAGAGAACCCAGCGGUCCCGUUCCCAGCUGAAAAGUGCGUGGAAGCACUGGAAAUGCUGAAGGCAGAGUUCGGUGUGCGAUUCAGUGAACUACAUGUUCAUGCAAAAGAAAUCCGUCUUUUUCAGAACCCCUUUGUUGCCGACAUUGAUGAAGCCCAGCCUUCAUAUCAGUUUGAGUUGGCUGAGUUACAGAACUGUGAUGUUCUGAAAGACGCAUUCAAGCCCAACAGUCUCAUUGACUUCUAUGCCGCCCUCCCAAACGACACAUAUCCAAACAUCAAAACACGCAAUGAAAAUGUCCACAGUUUUUGGCAGCACGUAUAUCUGCGAGAAAACCUUUUCUCGCAUGAAACUGCUGAAAACCCCGAUGAGAUCAAGAUUGACAGAUGAACAUUUGCAUCAGUGCUUGAGACUGGCUGUAACUAGAAUGGAACCUGAUAUUCAACUUCUCACCAGCCAGAUGCAGGCCCACAGUUCACACUGAUGAACAUACAUAGGGAAGUUGAUGAGAGAGAGCUGCAAACAGCGGUGUCUACAAGCCUACUGGAACCUACAAAAGGAUUAUAAGGAAGGAACACAAGAACUUUAAGAGACUGCUCAUAUGUGUCAGAGAGAUUCUGCUCUGACAACUGAGCUGAACUUUUAUCUGUUAAGAUUGUGCAUGGCACGACAGAAAGUUAAUGUUCCAUGGCUUUUUUUUUUUUUCUAUGAAGAACCCAGAGAGGGUUAUUUAGUUAUUAUUUAUUUCAUUAAUAGUGUUAUUAUUUGUUUCCUGACUUUUUUUUCUGUAAAGAACCUGGAAAGGGUUAUUUGGUUAUGUGUGGCUUUCUGGAAAACAAUACAUUUUUUAAGCUCCCCUA